AGAAAGGUAUGUAUGUAUGUAGAGGAGUAUGUAUGCAUGUAAGAUGGUACGUGUGCAUGAUUUAAAUACGUAGAGUUUUAACGUUACUAAUUAUGCGUUUGAGGUUGGUAUGUAAUGCAGGAACGAGUACAUCGGAUUCUUACGAAAUUUAAGCCCAACCCGGAAUAAGAGGAUGAGUGAUACACGGACUUCUUCUGCUACUUAGGAAGUGAAGCGGACGUAGAUCGAGUCAAGAGCAAGGAUUGCACGGAUAGAUCGAUCAUAUAGUUGAAAUAUAUAACGUCUAGAAAUGUAAAUUUUAGUAUGAAUGUUGUGAAUUCUUUUAUAGAACGUUUAACAUUUUAGCUUUUGGAACCUUCUCGAAAGUAAUGUCGUUAAUAAGGAAAGAAAUUUUAAAGCUC